rnacentral:rRNA from 1 species
AACGAACGCUGGCGGCGUGCUUAACACAUGCAAGUCGAGCGCGAAAGGGGCUUCGGCCCUGAGUAAAGCGGCAGACGGGUGAGUAACACGUGGGUAACUUGUCCCAGGAUGGGGAAUAACCGCCCGAAAGGGUGGCUAAUACCGCAUAAGACCACAGUUUUGCGGAACGGUGGUAAAAGGUUUCGGCCGUCUUGGGAGGGGCCCGCGUCCGAUUAGCUAGUUGGUGAGGUAACGGCUCACCAAGGCUGCGAUCGGUAGCUGGUCUGAGAGGGCGACCGGCCACACUGGGACUGAGACACGGCCCAGACUCCUACGGGAGGCAGCAGUGGGGAAUAUUGCACAAUGGGCGAAAGCCUGAUGCAGCGACGCCGCGGGAGGGAUGACGGCCUUCGGGUUGUAAACCUCUUUCAGCAGGGAAGAAGCGAAAGUGACGGUACCUGCAGAAGAAGCACCGGCUAACUACGUGCCAGCAGCCGCCGUAAUAC